CCGUAGGGGGCUUUUGCCCCCGAUAACCCAUAACCCUUGUCUAUGAGCACCCUCGUUUCCUCGGCAGGUCCGCCUGCCAAUGGGGACAACACUAAACCUUUUUGUAGUAGUAGUAACCGUAAACAAACAAAAAAUCA
rnacentral:misc_RNA from 1 species